rnacentral:rRNA from 1 species
AAUUCGGAGAGUUUGAUCCUGGCUCAGGAUGAACGCUGGCGGUAUGCUUAACACAUGCAAGUUGAACGAGUUUAUUUUUGUAAACAAGUAGCGAACGGGUGAGUAACGCGUAAGAAUCUUUCCUUUAGAUUGGAAUAACAAUUGGAAACGAUUGCUAAUGCCAAAUAAACUGUUGAGUAAAAGAUUAAUAUUACUAUAGGAGGAGCUUGCGUCUGAUUAGUUAGUUGGUAAGAUAAUAGCUUACCAAGGCGAUGAUCAGUAGCUGGUCUAAGAGGAUGAUCAGCCACACUGGGACUGAGACACGGCCCAGACCUCUACGGAGGGCAGCAGUGAGGAAUUUUCCGCAAUGGGCGAAAGCCUGACGGAGCAAUACCGCGUGGGGGAUGACGGCUCAUGGGUUGUAAACUCCUUUUCUCAAAGACGAAUAAAAUGACGGUAUUUGAGGAAUAAGCAUCGGCUAACUCCGUGCCAGCAGCCGCGGUAAGACGGGGGAUGCAAGCGUUAUCCGGAAUUAUUGGGCGUAAAGGGUCUUUAGGUGGUUUUUUAAGUCGGCGGUUAAAUAUUAGGGCUUAACCUUAAAAAAGCAGUCGAAACUAAUAAGCUUGAGUAUAGUAGAGGUAGAGGGAACUCUCGGUGGAGUAGUGAAAUACGUAGAUAUCGGGAAGAACACCAAUAGCGAAGGCACUCUGCUGGGCUAUAACUGACACUCUAAGACGAAAGCUAGGGGAGCAAAUAGGAUUAGAUACCCUAGUAGUCCUAGCCGUAAACGAUGGAUACUAAAUGCUGGAUUUUAAAAGAGUUCAGUGUUAAAGCUAACGCGUUAAGUAUCCCGCCUGGGAAGUAUGCUUGCAAUAGUGAAACUCAAAGGAAUUGACGGGGGCCCGCACAAGCGGUGGAGCAUGUGGUUUAAUUCGAUGCAACGCGAAGAACCUUACCAGAGUUUGACAUACCAUUUUGUUUUUUUAAGAAAAAACAUUUUGUACAAUUUUGUACAAUGGAUACAGGUGGUGCAUGGCUGUCGUCAGCUCGUGUCGUGAGAUGUUGGGUUAAGUCCUGCAACGAGCGGAACCCUUAUUAUUAGUUAUAUUUUUAAUAAAACAGCUGGUGAUAAACUGGAGGAAGGUGAGGACGACGUCAAGUCAGCAUGCCCCUUAUACUCUGGGCUACACACGUGCUACAAUGGUAAAGACAAUAAGUUGCUAACUUGUAAAAGUAUGCUAAUCUCAUAAACUUUAUCUCAGUUCGAAUUGUUGGCUGCAACUCGCCAACAUGAAGCCGGAAUCGCUAGUAAUCGCCGGUCAGCUACACGGCGGUGAAUACGUUCUCGGGCCUUGCACACACCGCCCGUCACUCAGGCAAAAUCGGAUAUACCCGAAAUCGUCGAUUUAACUUUUUUAAAGAGAUAGGCGCCUAAGGCAAAUCUGGUAAUGCCUGAGAAGUCGUAACAAGGUAACCGUACUGGAAGGUGCGGUUGGAUCAACUCCUUU